rnacentral:rRNA from 1 species
GUAACGGCCCACCUAGGCGACGAUCAGUAGCCGGACUGAGAGGUUGACCGGCCACAUUGGGACUGAGACACGGCCCAGACUCCUACGGGAGGCAGCAGUGGGGAAUAUUGGGCAAUGGGCGCAAGCCUGACCCAGCAACGCCGCGUGAAGGAAGAAGGCUUUCGGGUUGUAAACUUCUUUUGUCGGGGACGAAACAAAUGACGGUACCCGACGAAUAAGCCACGGCUAACUAC